rnacentral:tRNA from 1 species
GUGGGACACAGCGGCACGUAACGACACGUGACGGUACGCGACCAUAGAACUUCUAAUCCGACGGUCGCAGGUUCGAAUCCUGCCGGGUGCGCCA